rnacentral:rRNA from 1 species
UACGAAGGGGGCUAGCGUUGCUCGGAUUGACUGGGCGUAAAGGGCGCGUAGGCGGUUCGUACAGUCAGACGUGAAAUCCCGGGGCUCAACCCCGGGCCUGCAGUCGAUACGGGCAGACUAGAGUGCGGUAGGGGGAGACUGGAAUUCCUGGUGUAGCGGUGAAAUGCGCAGAUAUCAGGAGGAACACCGGUGGCGAAGGCGGGGGUCU